rnacentral:lncRNA from 1 species
AAUAGUAUAUUAGGUAAAUUAUAUAUAUAUAUAUAGAAUUAGGCUGGAAUACUAUUAAUAGUAAAACACUCUUUUUGCUAUCAAGUUUUUAACCCUUGGAUGAAAAAUUGUAGGGUCGGGAUGAUAUUAGUCGGUUAGAGUUGAGUGGUCCCCCUAGGGUUGAGUGGUCCCCACUGGGUUAUAGUAUUUACUCCAAUGGUUAGAAAUAAUAAAAAGAGUUUAUCCAAAGGCUAAAAAACUGGUAGCAAUAAUGAGAUUUUGUUACUAAUAGUAGCCCAGUCCAACUCUCUCUCUAUAUAUAUAUAUAUAUAUAUAUAUAUAUGAGUCCGGCUACUAUACUCUUAUGAGUACGAUUGUCUUUGUACUCAUAAGUUAUUUUCGAUAAUAGAGUUUUCGAAUUGAUGAUCCACACCGUUAAAUAUUUUCUAGAAUAUUUAAAAUUUUUAAAAAUUAAAUUUUAUAAUUUUUCGACAUCAUUUACUUACGAUCAAAAGCUCACAAAAUUGAUAAUUUUUAACGGCCGGUAUAGAAUACUUGCUAGUUUAACGGUGGAAAAGAAUCGGAAUAGAUUGAAUUUUUGAUAGAAAAUUUUAUUCACUACCUAUAUAAAGAUCAAUAACUCCAAUCUUAAAUUAAAGGAUCCGAUCAUCCAUUUUUAGGACGUCGUUUGAUUUUGACCGUUUAUUUUAUGCCUGCUUGAUGAAUUUUAUUAUGAUUUCAAAAAACUACGAAAUUUAUUCUCGAGAAGUUUUAAAUACUCUAGAUCAUAUUUAACGAAGUGGAUCGUCGAUUCGAAAGCUCCAUCAUCGAAAACAACUUAUGAGUACGAAGGGCCCAAUACUCAUAAGAGUAUAGUAGCCCUACUAAUAUGUAUAUAUAUAUAUUUGAAAUUUUU